rnacentral:rRNA from 1 species
AGAGUUUGAUCCUGGCUCAGGACGAACGCUGGCGGCGUGCCUAAUACAUGCAAGUAGAACGCUGAAGCUUGGUGCUUGCACCGAGCGGAUGAGUUGCGAACGGGUGAGUAACGCGUAGGUAACCUGCCUGGUAGCGGGGGAUAACUAUUGGAAACGAUAGCUAAUACCGCAUAAUAGUAGAUGUUGCAUGACAUUUGCUUAAAAGGUGCAAUUGCAUCACUACCAGAUGGACCUGCGUUGUAUUAGCUAGUUGGUGAGGUAACGGCUCACCAAGGCAACGAUACAUAGCCGACCUGAGAGGGUGAUCGGCCACACUGGGACUGAGACACGGCCCAGACUCCUACGGGAGGCAGCAGUAGGGAAUCUUCGGCAAUGGACGGAAGUCUGACCGAGCAACGCCGCGUGAGUGAAGAAGGUUUUCGGAUCGUAAAGCUCUGUUGUAAGAGAAGAACGAGUGUGAGAGUGGAAAGUUCACACUGUGACGGUAUCUUACCAGAAAGGGACGGCUAACUACGUGCCAGCAGCCGCCGGU